rnacentral:rRNA from 1 species
GAUGAACGCUAGCGGCAGGCUUAACACAUGCAAGUCGAGGGGUAGAGUUAGCUUGCUAACUUGAGACCGGCGCACGGGUGCGUAACGCGUAUGCAAUCUACCUUGUACAGAGGGAUAGCCCAGAGAAAUUUGGAUUAAUUCCUCAUAGUAUUAUUGAAUGGCAUCAUUUGAUUAUUAAAGUUCCAACGGUACAAGAUGAGCAUGCGUCCCAUUAGCUAGAUGGUAAGGUAACGGCUUACCAUGGCAACGAUGGGUAGGGGUCCUGAGAGGGAGAUCCCCCACACUGGUACUGAGACACGGACCAGACUCCUACGGGAGGCAGCAGUGAGGAAUAUUGGUCAAUGGGCGCAAGCCUGAACCAGCCAUGCCGCGUGCAGGAAGACGGUCCUAUGGAUUGUAAACUGCUUUUAUACGGGAAGAAACCCUGCUACGUGUAGCAGCUUGACGGUACCGUAAGAAUAAGCAUCGGCUAACUCCGUGCCAGCAGCCGCAGUAA